AGAGUUUGAUCAUGGCUCAGGAUGAACGCUAGCGGCAGGCUUAACACAUGCAAGUCGAGGGGCAGCGCGAUGUAGCAAUACAUUGGCGGCGACCGGCGCACGGGUGCGUAACACGUAUGGAAUCUGCCCUGUACUGGGAGAUAACCCGGCGAAAGUCGGACUAAUAUCCCAUAAUAGGCGAGGUGGCAUCACCUUGCUUUGAAAGCUCCGGCGGUACAGGAUGACCAUGCGCACGAUUAGCUAGUUGGUGAGGUAACGGCUCACCAAGGCUACGAUCGUUAGGGGGCCUGAGAGGGUUAUCCCCCACACUGGUACUGAGACACGGACCAGACUCCUACGGGAGGCAGCAGUGAGGAAUAUUGCGCAAUGGAGGCAACUCUGACGCAGCCAUGCCGCGUGCAGGAAGAAGGCGCUACGCGUUGUAAACUGCUUUUAACCGGGAAGAAACCCCAGGACGUGUCCUGGGUUGACGGUACCGGAGGAAUAAGCACCGGCUAACUUCGUGCCAGCAGCCGCGGUAAUACGAAGGGUGCAAGCGUUAUCCGGAUUCAUUGGGUUUAAAGGGUGCGUAGGUGGGGCGUUAAGUCAGUGGUGAAAGCCUACAGCUCAACUGUAGAAUUGCCAUUGAUACUGGCGCUCUUGAGUGCGCUUGAAGUAGGCGGAAUGUGCCGUGUAGCGGUGAAAUGCUUAGAUAUGGCACAGAACACCAAUUGCGAAGGCAGCUUACUAAGGCGAUACUGACACUGAGGCACGAAAGCGUGGGGAUCGAACAGGAUUAGAUACCCUGGUAGU
rnacentral:rRNA from 1 species